GACGAACGCUGGCGGCGUGCCUAAUACAUGCAAGUCGAACGCUUUGAUUUUCACCGGAGCUUGCUCCACCGAAAAUCAAAGAGUGGCGGACGGGUGAGUAACACGUGGGCAACCUGCCCAACAGAGGGGGAUAACACUUGGAAACAGGUGCUAAUACCGCAUAAUUUGUUUUUCCGCAUGGAAGAAUAAUAAAAGACGCUUCGGUGUCACUGUUGGAUGGGCCCGCGCUGCAUUAGUUAGUUGGUGGGGUAACGGCCUACCAAGACCAUGAUGCAUAGCCGACCUGAGAGGGUGAUCGGCCACACUGGGACUGAGACACGGCCCAGACUCCUACGGGAGGCAGCAGUAGGGAAUCUUCGGCAAUGGACGAAAGUCUGACCGAGCAACGCCGCGUGAGUGAAGAAGGUUUUCGGAUCGUAAAACUCUGUUGUUAGAGAAGAACAAGUGAGAGAGUUACUGUUCUCACCUUGACGGUAUCUAACCAGAAAGCCACGGCUAACUACGUGCCAGCAGCCGCGGUAAU
rnacentral:rRNA from 1 species